rnacentral:rRNA from 1 species
UGGGGAAUAUUGCACAAUGGGCGCAAGCCUGAUGCAGCCAUGCCGCGUGUGUGAAGAAGGCCUUCGGGUUGUAAAGCACUUUCAGCGGGGAGGAAGGCGGUGAGGCUAAUAACCUCAUCGAUUGACGUUACCCGCAGAAGAAGCACCGGCUAACUCCGUGCCAGCAGCCGCGGUAAUACGGAGGGUGCAAGCGUUAAUCGGAAUUACUGGGCGUAAAGCGCACGCAGGCGGUCUGUCAAGUCGGAUGUGAAAUCCCCGGGCUCAACCUGGGAACUGCAUCUGAUACUGGCAAGCUUGAGUCUCGUAGAGGGGGGUAGAAUUCCAGGUGUAGCGGUGAAAUGCGUAGAGAUCUGGAGGAAUACCGGUGGCGAAGGCGGCCCCCUGGACGAAGACUGACGCUCAGGUGCGAAAGCGUGGGGAGCAAACAGG